rnacentral:rRNA from 1 species
UACGUAGGGGGGCAAGCGUUGUCCGGAAUCAUUGGGCGUAAAGAGCGUGUAGGCGGCCCGGUAAGUCCGCUGUGAAAGUCCAGGGCUCAACCCUGGGAUGCCGGUGGAUACUGUCGGGCUCGAGUACGGAAGAGGCGAGUGGAAUUCCCGGUGUAGCGGUGAAAUGCGCAGAUAUCGGGAGGAACACCAAUGGCGAAGGCAGCUCGCUGGGACGUUACUGACGCUGAGACGCGAAAGCGUGGGGAGCAAACAGG